rnacentral:rRNA from 1 species
AACGGCGAGUGAAGCGGGAAGAGCUCAAAUUUGAAAUCUUCAAGGUUUUACCUUGACGAAUUGUAGUUUAAAGAAGUGUUUUCUGUUGAAGUUUUGGUAAAAGUUCUUUGGAAUAGGACAUCAUAGAGGGUGAGAAUCCCGUAUUUGACCAUUAUUUUCAGCUGUGUGAUACACUUUCAAAGAGUCGGAUUGUUUGGGAAUGCAGUCCAAAAUGGGUGGUAAAUUUCAUCUAAAGCUAAAUAUUGGCGAGAGACCGAUAGCGAACAAGUACCGUGAGGGAAAGAUGAAAAGAACUUUGAAAAGAGAGUUAAACAGUACGUGAAAUUGUCAAAAGGGAAGCGUUUGACACCAGUGUUGUUUUCUCGAAAAUCAAUUAAAAAGAGUUGGAUUUUGUGUUGUAUUGACCUUAACAGCUUUCUUCACUCUUUUCCUGCUUUUUUUAAUGCACUUUUCGUUUAACAAGUCAACAUCAGUUUCUUUUGUUGUAAAAAGGUCAUUGGAAGGUGGCUUUCUUUUCGGAGAAAGUGUUUAUAGCCUUUGAUCCCUGCUAUCGGAGAGACUGAGGUCUGCAGCGUAGACUCUUCGGGGUUAGAUACAUUUGUGCUAAGUUAUAGCUUUUCAUAGACAACUUGUUGACUAUGUUUAGUCUUGUAGCUUACUCGCUUAUGCUAUUUUACCUAC